GUGGGGAAUAUUGGACAAUGGGGGGAACCCUGAUCCAGCCAUGCCGCGUGUGUGAAGAAGGCCUUUUGGUUGUAAAGCACUUUAAGCGAGGAGGAGGCUACCGAGAUUAAUACUCUUGGAUAGUGGACGUUACUCGCAGAAUAAGCACCGGCUAACUCUGUGCCAGCAGCCGCGGUAAUACAGAGGGUGCAAGCGUUAAUCGGAUUUACUGGGCGUAAAGCGCGCGUAGGUGGUUAAUUAAGUCAAAUGUGAAAUCCCCGAGCUUAACUUGGGAAUUGCAUUCGAUACUGGUUAGCUAGAGUAUGGGAGAGGAUGGUAGAAUUCCAGGUGUAGCGGUGAAAUGCGUAGAGAUCUGGAGGAAUACCGAUGGCGAAGGCAGCCAUCUGGCCUAAUACUGACACUGAGGUGCGAAAGCAUGGGGAGCAAACAGGAUUAGAAACCCUAGUAGUCC
rnacentral:rRNA from 1 species